rnacentral:rRNA from 1 species
AUGAUGGUUGAUCUUCCACAGGAAUCAGAUACAUUUCGUUGGAAGCUAGCUACUUCAGGUGACUUUAUUGUCAAAUCCUUGUAUUCAAACAUCAUCAAUGAUGGGCAACCUUUUCACCACAAAUAUAUUUGGAAAAUGAAAGUACCACUGAAAAUAAAAAACUUCAUGUGGUAUUUAGAUCACCAUAUCAUCCUGACAAAAGAUAAUCUGUAAAAAAGGAAUUGGCAAUGAUGGAGUAAGUAUUGCUUUUGUGGUAACGAGGAGUUGAUUCAGCAUCUAGUCCUUCACUGGCCGCUUGCCAAACUAUUAGGGAGAUAUGUCUGUACUUUUAAUCUACCUCCACCCACGAGUAGUACAAAUAUGAUCAGAAGAUGGUUAGUCGAGGUACAUCAUAGGCUGAAGUCUCAGACCCAUUUGAGAAUUUGUGCUUUAUUUUGGGCAUUCGGAAUAGUCGAAAUGAUUGUAUUUUUGAGAGAACAAAAGUUCCAUUUUUUAGGUUAUCUUCAAGGCCAUCGGUUGGAUCCAUACAUGGUCAUUACUAUGCAAAGAGGAGGAUCGGGCGCCCACGGUCUUUGGGCGCAACCGAUGGGAUAUGGUCUCUCGGGAUUUGUUAACUGA